AUACGUAGGUGACAAGCGUUAUCCGGAUUUACUGGGCGUAAAGGGCGUGUAGGCGGUCUUGCAAGUCAGAAGUGAAAUUCCUGAGCUCAACUCGGGCGCUGCUUCUGACACUGCAGGACUUGAGUGCUGGAGGGGAUAGCGGAAUUCCUAGUGGAGCGGUAAAAUGCGCAGAUAUUAGGAAGAACACCGGUGGCGAAGGCGGCUAGCUGGCAAGUAACUGAGGCUGAGGCGCGAAAGCGUGGGGAGAAAACAGGAUUAGAUACCCUGGUAGGCCACGCCGUAAACGAUGAAUACUAGGUGUAGGGGGUAUCGACUCCCUCUGUGCCGCAGUUAACACAAUAAGUAUUCCGCCUGGGGAGUACGGCCGCAAGGUUGAAACUCAAAUGAAUUGACGGGG
rnacentral:rRNA from 1 species